rnacentral:rRNA from 1 species
UACGUAGGGGGCAAGCGUUGUCCGGAUUUACUGGGCGUAAAGCGCGCGUAGGCGGAGCUCAAGUCUGGCCUGAAAGCCCCCGGCUCAACCGGGGAGUGGGGCUGGAACUGGGUUCUUGAGGCGAUAGAGGAGUGUGGAAUUCCUGGUGUAGCGGUGAAAUGCGUUGAUAGUCAGGAGGAACACCCAUGGCGAAGGCAGCAAACUGGCCGGCAUCUGACGCUGAGGUGCGAAAGCGUGGGGAGCAAACAGG